GAUGAACGCUAGCUACAGGCUUAACACAUGCAAGUCGAGGGGAAACGAUAGAGAAAGCUUGCUUUUUCUAGGCGUCGACCGGCGCACGGGUGAGUAACGCGUAUCCAACCUGCCCAUCACUUGGGGAUAACCUUGCGAAAGUAAGACUAAUACCCAAUGACGUCUCUAGAAGACAUCUGAAAGAGAUUAAAGAUUUAUCGGUGAUGGAUGGGGAUGCGUCUGAUUAGCUUGUUGGCGGGGUAACGGCCCACCAAGGCGACGAUCAGUAGGGGUUCUGAGAGGAAGGUCCCCCACAUUGGAACUGAGACACGGUCCAAACUCCUACGGGAGGCAGCAGUGAGGAAUAUUGGUCAAUGGACGCAAGUCUGAACCAGCCAUGCCGCGUGCAGGAUGACGGCUCUAUGAGUUGUAAACUGCUUUUGUACUAGGGUAAACUCACCUACGUGUAGGUGACUGAAAGUNUAGUACGAAUAAGGAUCGGCUAACUCCGUGCCAGCAG
rnacentral:rRNA from 1 species